rnacentral:misc_RNA from 1 species
UCUCUCUCUCUCUCUCUCUCAGCUACCAGUCAAUCUGCCCUUUUUUACCCACCUACCUGCUCUUUAUGUGCAUCUGACCCUAAAACUCACAUUAACCAAUGAUUAAGCCCAGACACUGAAACUCUGCAAGCUAUAGCUUUAAGCUCAGAAUCACUAAUUAAAACCAGUAACCGGAAACUGAUCGCCGGCCACCUCCACUCCGAUCCAAUGGUCAACUUUUGAAUAAACAACUACCCAGAAUCUCAAACGCUGAAAAAAAAAAAAUAAUAAAACACCAAAUCUGAAAGUUGCAACAGUGUUAAGGCUGCUUUAGAAAAUUAAAUAACAGCGAACAGAAAAGAUAGACUUCGAGUGAUGGCUUUUUGCAGAAAAAAGGCCAAGCCUUUGGUCUAU